rnacentral:rRNA from 1 species
UACGGAGGAUGCAAGCGUUAUCCGGAAUUAUUGGGCGUAAAGCGUCCGUAGGUGGCUUAUCAAGUCUGCUGUUAAAGCGUGCGGCUUAACCGCAUAAGGGCAGUGGAAACUGAUGAGCUAGAGUGCGAUAGGGGUAACAGGAAUUCCCAGUGUAGCGGUGAAAUGCGUAGAUAUUGGGAAGAACACCAGCGGCGAAAGCGUGUUACUGGGUCUGCACUGACACUGAGGGACGAAAGCUAGGGGAGCGAAAGGG